rnacentral:rRNA from 1 species
GACAGGUGGUGCAUGGUUGUCGUCAGCUCGUGUCGUGAGAUGUUGGGUUAAGUCCCGCAACGAGCGCAACCCUUAAGCUUAGUUGCCAUCAUUAAGUUGGGCACUCUAAGUUGACUGCCGGUGACAAACCGGAGGAAGGUGGGGAUGACGUCAAAUCAUCAUGCCCCUUAUGAUUUGGGCUACACACGUGCUACAAUGGACAAUACAAAGGGCAGCGAAACCGCGAGGUCAAGCAAAUCCCA